rnacentral:lncRNA from 1 species
UUCAGUACCCUGUGUAAUUCACAAACACACAAGCAUAUCCCAAACCCUAGAACAAACAACUUCUAAUCCACAGAAUCUGAUCAAGAUAAUUCCUUCAAUUACAAUUUCUCUCCACUGAACUUAGAACCUUGCGAUAAAUAGUGAUUGGAAACUUUCGUACAUCCUCAAUUUUUCACAACAAUUGAUAAACAAUGAUCCAUAAAUAACUUUGUAAAUCAAACAUUAAUUCAUUAAAUCAAUUUUCUUCACUAGAAUCAAUACUAAUACAAAAGAAACAAGAAAACUAAGAAGAAGAGAUAGCACCAAGCUUAUCCCUGGCUCAGUACUAUCGUAGUCUGGCCCUCGGCUCAUGACUAUCACAGACUGGCAUUUUCUUCCCCUCUCCCAUUCUCCUUAUACUACCCUGAGAUAACAACUCCUAUAUUACAGAUGAUAACUACUUUUCUUGACUAUUCAUCCAUUCUACCUGCUAAACCACCUUUUCAACAGUUAUCUAUCCCUGUUUAUACUAUACACUAGAUAUCUAUAUUUUGAAAAUAACUACUUAUUCUACAUAGCACCACUCCAAACUAUGCAGCGUCCCCGCAAACACAGUAUUGAUAAACAAAAACCAAUCCCUUUUUUUUUUAACUGGAUUGUUCAAAAACUUCGAUUUCUGGCGCUGGCUCCAUUUGGUCUUGUUUCAAUACUAUAUCUUCUUCCUCCGACUUGUUCUAAAUCUCUGUCCUUAAUUGAACUGUUAAAUCUUUAUUAUAUGCUCCCAAUUCUCAAACCUGAGCUUCUAAUUGGAGGAUUUUGGCAUCUUAACUUUCAAUUAUUGCUACUAUUGUUACAAUUUCUCCUCCAAUUUUCCAAUUCUUACUCCCGUUGAGGCAAAUAUCUGUGACUGAUCAAUACUGACCAAAUCACUCUCCAAUUUCAUUACUGUUUUCUUCAAAACAAAAUUUUUUACCUGUAGCUCAUUCGUAUUGUUUUGAUAUUGGUCACCCAAUUAUUUCUUUUCAAGCUCCUAUGCCUCCUUCUCUCGUUCCAUCUUCAACUAAGCGUUCAUCUUCUCAUGUUCCAAUCUAUACAAUUUGUGAGUUUGUAAUAAUUCUUGCUUUUGAUUUUUUUGAAUACGUUGAAUCCUCUAUUUUUCUUUUGACAAGUUUUUCACUUUUUCAUCCAAUUCACGUUUCACUCAUAUCUUGGAUUUUGAUUCUACCUUGAUGGCUUGUUCCUAUUUUCUGAUUUUAUAAUUUUACUCCAAUAUUAUUUUCUUGCUCGCUUCCACUUGCCUUUUUAAGCUACCCUCAUCUUUGAGCUUACUCACCGUAAGUUGCAGUUGGAAAAUUUGACCCAAUAUAACUUAUUUAAGAUUCUACCCUUCCGUUACACUCCGUUCUAACCCUAAUUGGUUGCUUUUCCUUGGAACUGGUAUUGGUGUCAUCAUCUCUAUUGUCGGCCGAAUUCGAACUUGCUCUAGUGUAGAUAUUGGUCUUGCUUUCCGUUCUCCUGCUCUGUUGGAUUCUCUCACUUCAUACACCAUUAUCCCUGGACUAACUGUUCCUAUUUGUAAACUUGGAACUACUGGUUGAGAUUCAUGUUUCAAUGUAUACUCAAUCACUAAGUUUACAUAAUUGGAACAUAAUAGUGAAGCAAACUUUCCCAUCUUCCUCUUAGCUCCCAUUUCUGCAUGUAUCCUUGUGGGCACAUAAGCUGUCCAAUUGAAUACCAUACCUUCUAGUAUUCCUAUUGCGGAAAACAACAAUCGCUUCACCAUGUAGGUGGUAUGCCGAUUCAAUGCUAAUUGCUUCUGAAUGAACUGCAUCCAUUCCAUAAGUUCGGGCAUAAGUGCCUCUUGUAUCUUCCAUCCUUAAUUUCACUUGAGAAACGACAUACCUCCUUUGAAGUAGCUCCCUAGCUUGAAAACAUUUGAUGCGUCUCCUCCCACCUCAAGCUCUCCGGUUGGUAAAUGUAAAAUCUUGUGUAAGAUAUUCUCAUCUAUCUCAAUCAGGACUCCUCUUACCAUACUCGAACAAUCCUCUGAAUCAUAAUUUUUUAUAUAUUUUGCCACUCAUUCUACAUCAAUUGGUGGUAGUUUAUCCAAUCCUCGCAAAAACGUAAAUAAUUGUGCAUUUCUAAAAACUUUUUGUAUUUUUAAUGACCAACAUAUAUCUAACUUCAUCGGUUCCAUGUUGGUGAUAACUAUAAGAGACGGUGUCGUGUUGUAACACGAGUAUACCGUGAAAAUAUAAAGAAAGGAGACUUUUAUUAAUGUUCACUUACCUUGAAUAUUGAGAGCAACGACCAAUUUCAGUGCCAAUAUUCAAGGGCCAGUUCAGACACCCCGUCACAGUCGGUGAGGGCAUACUUACCAGUAACGAAAUGCUCUGUUCCAGUCCAAUAGUGGGAGUCAACAGAAUUGAAAGGACUAAAUUGAUGACUGAGCGAGCCUGACGCGAAGGACCAAUUUGACCCAAUUACGAGAACAUCCAGAUUUUACUAUGGGCCUCUUAGCCAAUCUAACGCGAAGGACCAAUUUGACCCAACUAUGGGAACAUCCAGGUCUUAAUAUGGGCCUCUUAGCCAAUAUGAAACCUAAUUUGGUUGGAUGACUCAAUGUGGUCCCGAUUACAGGGGUUUCGAUUCCGUUUCAGACUGUCCUGUUCUUUGUGCUAUUUCAAGGAAAAUUUUUUCUAAAAAAAGAACCUUUUAAAAGGUAGAAAAUAAAAGAAAAAGCUGUGACGGUGGAGCCAAUUCCAGAUCCAUGACUAGGAUUAAGAUGAGAGGCUAGGGUUUGAAAGAGGAGAGAAUUAGGAUUAAAGGGGAGAAUAGAUUAAGAAAUUAAGGGAAGAGAAUCAAGGGUUUUAAGGAUCGGAGAACUAGCUUCAUGCUUUGGAGGAGGAAAAAAGACAGAGAAUUAAGGUUUUUUUUUUCUUCAUAGGGUUUUGGGAAGAUGGAGGCAAUCAUUGCUGAAAGUUAGUGUUGUACUGGUGAAUCGGGGUUUUAAUGAAGUGGAUGUGAUUACUCUUGACUGUUUUAUAAAAUCAAAGUUAUGUCUGUGAUUGAAGAAUUAAAAAGGUGUCUAUAGGAUUGAGUAUGCGGAGUGAAUGAAAAUUUUUGGGUUAAUCUAACAAGACAGUCAGUAGAUACAAGGUCGUGAGUAUAAAGCGGUAUUGGAGAUUAACAAAUUGGAUUGUUCGGGGUUCUCUGUAAUGUCUAGAGACCUAUCGAUUGGGGCAAAAAAGAAUUUCAACGAGCAGUGAAAAGACAUCCAUAUAGAUUUAUGGUAUAUUCUUGUAAUCGUUUAUAUUCUAACAGUCAAAAACCAAUAGACUGCUUGAAUAUUAGCGAAUCUCUAUACUACCUCCUACAGCGAGAUGUUCGGUGCAUUCACGAGCAGGAAAGCACGUAAUACGACACAAGUGGUGAACCCGACGUGAAAGCUUGAGGUGGAAGGUAUUAGAUUUCGUUUGAUUUUAUUUUUAUUUUUAUGAAGAAUGAAAAUAAAAAUUUUGAAGGAUCUUUGGAAGGAGUUUCUGGCGGGGGUUCUUCUAAAGGACAAGGUAUGCAUAUGGAUCCAUCUAUUGCUAAUAUGUUUCAAGCCUUCUCAUUAUCAAUGCAGCAAUAGCAAAGCAAUGAUCGAAAAUAAGCUUUGGCAACCAAAGCAUUGCAAGCAGUGGUCAAUAAAAUUGAUCAAUUUGAUGGAAGGAAUAUUUUAAGGUAUUUAAGAUGUUAUGUUCGUGAAAUGGAAUUAAAUCGGAUUUCUGAGAAGAAAAUGGUUGAAUUAUUUGGACUUGCCACGAUACCGAAGAUAAGAGACUAUAUUACAUCGAUUACGGAUCGUUAUGGGAAUUCAUGGGAGGUUUUUUCACAUGCAUUGAAAGACGAAUAUUUCUUGGAAGAUGUUGAUCGCAUUACUGAGAAGCUAUUUUUGGAAUGGAUUGAACGACCUAAUAAGAAUUUGUAAGCAAUAGAGCUACUAAGGGAAUUUGAGAGGCAAUACUCUCAAUUAUCGAAGGUAGAAAAAUUGACAUUGGAGCCGAACAAAGUUGAUCUAUUUCUUCAAGCUGCUGAUGGAGAAUUGCAAGGGAAAUUAGAACUCCUUCUUCAAGACAAAGAAGAAGAUGAAGGAUUGACAACAAAGUGGAAGAACAUUGAAGAUGCGAUGGGGUUGCUUGCAAAAAGAGAAAGGAGGAAGGAUAGGAGUAAUAUUCCGAAAAUAGUACAAGCAUCCAAAGCUCCAGUACGUACAACACCACCAACAAUGCCUACAGUUCAACCUUCGACAUCCUUAUAAAAGAAAGCAGAUAUGGGGAUGGAAGAAAUUAUACGAGGAAUAUAAGAUCUUCAAAUCAAAUUAGCAAGACUUGAAGAGAAUACUUCUACAAAUAAUUUGAAGAAUGUUUUAAAACAAGGAUAUUGUCAAGGACAAGGACUCGAUGAAAAAAUAGUUCAGACAAGUAAGCCUUCACUCAAAGAAAAGUAACAAAAUAUGAAUAAUAAGUAUGUAUAUUGAAAAGAGAAAUUAAAAUGGCUAUUACCAAAAGACAAGAAAACUAGAGACCCUUGAAACUAGACUAAAAGCAAGAAAGGAGUUGACAAGAGUGAAGAAGCCUUCACUCUUGUCUCUAUAUAUACUAUCUAACUAGGGGCUACGUGGUAAUGUUCUAUAGGACCUCUAAUAUGUGUUGACUUUGUAGGACACAUGCCUUGACUUACAAGGCAAGUUUUUCUACGUGUGGGCCACAUAGUUAGCUUAAUCUCCAAGCUAACAACAUGUGUGGCACAUGGCCAACUUGUUGACCACGUUUCUAAUCCAAAAAGUCAAUUAAAGACACCUAUGAAGUCAAAGCAACGUCUAAGAAGUUUCUAGGAAGCUUCUAUAUUAAAUAUUAUAGAAUUAACUUACUUUUAUCUACUUUUAGUUACUUCUACCUAUUCCUAUAUGUAAUUAUUAGCUUACAUGAUUAUGGCCGUGACAUUACCCCCCCUUCUAGAGACGAGUUCCACGAGGAGCGGUCAUCAUAUGUUGAAGAAAUCUAUGAUGCGGCAAAUUAUAUUCGCCACAUAUUCUGAUCUUUGUUCUCUUCGAAGAUGAUUGAUAGGGCCUCUCAACCAUCGGUAGUGUCCCAUACCAGGGCGGGAAGACCAUCCAGUUAUUUGAUCAUUGUUGAGGCCUUCGUAACUUCCUUCGGAUAGAAUAUUUGGAACACCAUCUCGAGUUGUUCCUACCUCUAGCAAAAUCACCAAACAUCGGGAGUCCCUUCCCAAAUCGUGAUACCAAACGCGUUGUAUCGCACCAUCUAUUUGAGGAAGAACAUGUCGUUUUUGAAGAUCUUCAUCUCGAUUGCGUCGUCUUGAAGGUUGUGACAAUCGUAAUGUCUCGUCCGGUAGGUCAGCAAACAAAGGUUCUUGAGUUGAAUCUGCUGGUUGUUGGCUCUCCAUCUAAUUAGCGUCACAAAUGCAAAGAAGUUAUAAACAAGGAUAGGAAAUUGAAUGUUAUCUUGCCUCAAUCUUGUCUCUUUUAUAAGAGAGAUUUUCAUCUUGGUUUCGAUGGAUGUCGUUGAUGAAAAACUUUGACUUUAGCUGAUGCAUUUGCUAGAUUCCUGGAUGGCUCCCAUGUGCGUUCACUAAUAUCAUAUCCGCGCCAAUGAACAAGAUAUUCCAGCUUAUUUCGAAGUCGCCUUGAGUCUAAUAUCUCUUCCACCUCAAAUUCUUCAUUAUUAUCUACUCCUAUAGGAGGCGGUGGCAUUUGUCUUCUUCCUUGUAUAUCCACUGUCUUAUAUGAUUCAAGAAGAGAUACGUGGAAUACAGGAUGGAUCUUCAUUGACUCCGAUAGAUGUAACCGAUAUGCAACUGGGUUGAUCUGUUCAGAAACAGAAAAGGGGCCAAGCCUACGAUAGUCCAACUUGUCACAAGGUCGAGUAGUCUUGAUAUUGCAACGAAGUAGCCAUAUCUUAUCACCCACGUUGAUUUGUGGUUGCUUCUUACGAUAUAGAUCUGUAUUUAUCUUUUGUAGUUCUUAAGCUUCCUUCAAUUGCGUCUUCAUUAUUGCAUGUAACUCUGACAACUGAUUUGCCAUAUCUUCUGCUGCAGGAUUAUCAACUUUUGAAAAAUCAAAAGUAUCAAGUCGUGGAUGAUAGCCAUAAUUGGUAAAGAAAGGUGUUUGUUGCGUGGAAGAAUGUACCGUAUUAUUAUAAGCAAACUCUACCAAUGGCAGAAGGGUUGUCCAAUCAUCUUAUUGGUAGUUGAUAGUACACCUUAAAUAUUGCUCCAAGACUUGGUUUACGUGCUCUGUUUGUCCAUCAGUUUGAGGAUGGAAAGCCGAAGAUAGCUUUAUGUCCACUUUUAAAAUCUUGAAAAAGGUCCUCUAAAAUCUUGACACAAAUUGAGUUCCCCUAUCUGAUAUGAUAUCUUUAGAUAAUCCAUGAUAGCGAUAGAUAUUAUCAAUGAAAAGCUUAGCUGUUUCUUCACCUGUGAUAGAUUUUGUACAUGGCACAAAAUGUGCCAUCUUGGUGAAACAAUCUACUAUCACAAAUAUAGAAUCAUAAGAUCUUGAGCUUGAAAGAUCUAUGAUGCAAUCCAUAGAAACAGAAGACCAUGGUUGUUCUGGUAUAGGUAAUGGCUGAAGAAGUUUGUAAGGUCGAUGAUGAGGAAUUUUUGAUCUUGAACAAAUAUCACAUGAUUGUACAAAGUCUUUGACUGACUUCCAUAUUUGUGGCCACCAAAAAUCUCUUGAUAUGAGUUCCAAAGUCUUAUUAUAUCCAAAGUGCCUUGCUGCUGGAAAGUCACGACGUGCUUGAAGAACACGAAAACGUUGUCAUAUUACGUGCUUUCCUACUCGAGAACGCGCCGGACGUCUGGCUGUAGAAGGUAGUAUGGAGAUUCGUCGAUAGUCACGCAGUCUAUCAGUUUUUGACUGCUGGAAUAUAAACGACUGCAACAAUGUACAGUAAAUCUAUACGGGUGCUCUUCGACUGCUUGUCGAAGUCCUUUUUGCCCGAGCCGAUAGGUCUCUAGACGUUAUAGAGAACCCCGAACAACCCAAACUGUUAAUCUUCAAUACCCCUUUGUACUUACGAUCUUGUAUCCACUGACUGUCCUGUUAGAUUAAUCCAAUAAAUUUCAUUCACUCCGCAUACUCAAUCCUAUAGACACCCUUUUAAUCCUUCAAUCACAGACGUAACUCAAUUUUACAAAACAGUCAAGAGUAUUCAAAUCCACUUCAUUUAAAAAUCCCGAUUCACCAUUACAACAUUGACUUCAGCAGCGAUUGCCUCAGUCUUCCCAAAACUCUAUGAAGAAGAAAAAUCCAAAUUCUAUGUCUUUCCUUCCCCGACCCGAAGCAUGAAGCUCCUCUCUCUAAUUCCCUUGAUCUUCCAAAAACCUCCAAUGAAAAACCGAACUGGUAACCUUGCAGAAGCUUGAAAAAUCCUUCCCCCCCGAUUUCCCCUCAAAAAAAAAACCUCACACCCUCCAAAACUAUAUCCCCCCUAACCUUAUCCUCUGAAUUUCUUCAAUCUUCCGUCUUAGAUCCGGAAUUGGCUCCCACCUCAAGCUUGGAUCCGAAAUUGGCUCUCGCCGUCAAGCUUUCUCCUCCGUUUUUUCCUUUAAGAAAUCCAUUUACCGAAAACAACGUUCCCUGAGACGGCACAGAGAACAGGACAGCCUGAAACAGAAUCGAACCUCGUAAUCGGGACCACAUUGAGUCGCCCGACCAAUUCAGGUCCUAUAUUGGGAAAGAUGCCCGUAGUAACCUAGAUGUUCCCGUAAUUGGGUUAAAUUGGUCCUCGCGUCAGAUUGGCUAAGACCCGUAGUAAGACCUGGAUUUCCCGUAAUUAGACUGCAUUGGGUUGACCGACCAAUUCAGGUCUGAUAUUGGAUAAGAGGACCCGGAUUGGAUUAUCGAAAUUGGAUCCAAUUGGCUCCUCGAACCCGUCAUGUGAAUUGGUCCUUCUCUUCCUGCUAACUCCCGUUAUUGGAAUCGAACGGGGCAUUUCAGUAUGCUCCGGCUGACUAUAACGGAGUCACUGAACCUGACCACUCAGUAUUUGUACUGGAGUUGGUCGAUGCUCCCAAUAUUCGAGGUAACUGAAUAUUAAUAAAAUUCCCCUUUCUUUUUAUUUUCACUAUAUACUCGUGUUACAACACGACAUCCACCCCCUCUGAACCUGUGCAUCCUCCGGUAUGCACCAAUUUACCCAAUUGCUGUUUGAUUCAGAAUAUAUUCCCUACGUCUUUGUCCAGUUCGUCUUCGUCACCUUCAUUAUCCAUAUCACUUUCAUCUUCUUGCUGCGGAAUCUCUGUACCUUCAUUAAGGUCUUCCAUAUUCAUCUCUGCGUGUCUUCGUUUAAAUAUUUUUACUCUCUUCCCUGCAAUUGGUAUUUUCAAUUUUGUACCAUCUAACUCCCGUAAUGAGUAAGUCGCAUUAUCAUGAACAGUUGUUACAACAUAUGGUCCAAACCAACGUUUUGAAAAUUUCCGCAAAGUACUAUGUUGAUUAUCCAGACUAUUGUCAUAAACAAGUACCCAGUCACCUUCCUCGAUUGCUUUUGGUCUCAAUCGAUGUUGCUUAUCGAAUCGCGCCUUGUUUUGUAACCUUGCUCUUUUUAACCUUUCCAAUGCUAUUUGGACAUCUUCCGUUCUUUGCUCCAAUUGUCGAAUCCUAAUAGCCAGAAGUUCUUCUCUUGUCAAUCCAUCUUCCCAUGGUAGCAUACUCCAAGUAAGUACCUUUUCUUCAAUCGGCAUAAUUGGUUUUUGACCUGUCAUAAGUUCUACUGGCAUAUAUCCUGUCACCAAACUAUGUGUUGUUCGAUCAGCCCAUAAUACAAAUGACAAAAGCCGUGGCCACUCUUUAACCUUCCCAUUACAAGCUUUAACCAAUGCUUUUACAAUCGGCGGGUGACCGCGUUCGCUUUUCGCAUUCCCUUCCGGAUUAUAAGCAGUAGUCAGUGAUAGUUUAACUCCACAUUUUUCAAAGAACCUACGAGCUUCUUGUGCAUUUAAUUCUCCACGAUCUGCAGUGAUUUUUCCUAUGCACCCGUAAUGGCAAAUGACAUCUUCAAGCAAAAACCUACAAAUCCCCUCUGUAUAUUUCGUCCUCAAUGCUCUUCCUUCUACUUGAUUUGAUAAAUCUUCACAAGCUAAAACCAAAUAUCUCAUCUGCCAUAACCCAACUGGCAUAAUAACCAAAUCAACAACCCAUUUAAAAUGAAUAGCCAGAGGAUACGUAGAAUGAAGACCGUCUUGAUGUAAAAAUCCAUAUGCUUUUUUUCUUAUUUGUUUGAAUUUUUCUGUAGACCAAUUCCCCUGCUUAGACAAGGUAUUCAAAUAAUGACCAAUAUCCAAUAAUUCUCCUUCAUAAGCUUCUUCAAGAAAUAGCUGGUCUUCUCUGUUGAGAUUUGAUAUUGAAUAGAAUUUCAAUCCGACAUCAUCAAUGUCUUCAACCAUUUCGUCCUCCCUCUCGUAUCUUGCUCGAGAUAGCAUGUCUGCUACUAAAUUGUCCUUUCCAGUGAUAUGCUUAAAUUCUGGAUUUAGUGACUUAAUAUAAGCAAUCCAUCUCAACAUUGCAAUAUCUGGCGUUGAACAGUUAAUAAUCAUUCGAAGCAAUGGCAAGCAAUCUGUUUCAAUUACUACUAUUGCCCCAAUCAAAUAGUCCUUUUCAGCUUUCAUAGCCGAAACGACUCUCCAAAGUUCUCUUUUUACUUGCGAAUAUGCACGCUGACGAAUACUUAAAACUUUAGCCCCAAAUCGAACUGCAAAUCUACUCCCAUUCGAAUCAUCUUGACCCACUGCCCAUCCAACGGUAAUUGGACUAGCGUCUACAGUAAGAAUCACUGGUCUAUUGCACUUAUAAUCAACCUUCCUCAAUAUUGGAGGUGACAUCAAUAAUUUCUUCAAUCUUUGCAUUGCCUGAAUAUGCCUUUCUUUCCAUUCAAAUCGGUAACCCUUGCGUAACAGUUCAUAUAAUGGAUCCGCUAUGUGAGCAAAAUGAGGGAUCCAGAUUCGAUAAAAUACACAUGCACCCAAAAACCUGCGAACCUCUGUUAAAGAACCACAAUCCUCUUUCAUCCUUCCAAUUGCAUCAACUUUAGUCGGAUCUGGUUUUCUUCCGUAAGAUCCGCAUAAAUGUCCAACAAUUACAACCUCUCGCACUCCAAAUACGGACUUCAUACCCGAUAAUGUAAGAUGAACUUCUCCAAGCCGAGUUAAAAUCUUUUCACAAUCUUGUAUAUGAUCAACAACAUAUCUGCGACACCCCCUCGUAUCUAAAGUUUCAUCCUUGUCUCCUUCUCUGCACCCCUUCAUAGGAAUAUCAUUCAGAAAAGGCAUAGUCUUUUCCGGGAUAAAAUCUCUCAAUACCUUAUUCAUCCCAUUCAUCAUAUGCGCAAUUGAGUUGGUCGCGCCUUGAGGAAGAGUGCACAUUCUAACCAAUCCAAGCGGUGUCCUCAUCGUUGUCAUAUCUCUACUUCCUUCGGCAAGUUGAAAUUGAGCAUAACCUGAAUACAAAUCACCCAUUGAAUAGAUCGCCCUUCCAGCAAACGCCUCAGCAAAUUCAUCCACAAUAGGUCCAAUUCCUGCAUUCCUGACAGUUACAGCAUUCACCGGCUGCAUAUCUUGAAUAAACCGUAGUGACCCAUUCUUCUUAGGUACCGUAAACCAUCGACUAGAAUACGGCGCAAAUGAAGGUUCUAAUAUUUUCAUCUUUAUCUUUUCUUUCAAUAGUUCGACCAAUUUAGGUAAAUGUGCCCUUGGUACUGGAAUCGGCCUUAGAUUCUAAGGUACAUGUGGUACAAUGAAGAUAACCAUAGGUGUUAUAAUAUUUGGAUCUACACACCCAAUUUCAUGAGAUUCGAAGGCAAACGAUCUACCUUGUUUAGCCAACAUCUUUUUGAAGCAAGUAAUUUCCUCCGGCAAUAAAGAACCAUCAGAACCAAUCUUCAAUUCUUCAAAAGUCUCUUCAGUAAACUGAUGUCCAAUACUCAUUGGAUCUCUUAAACUUGCUUCUUUUGAUGCUUCUCCCAUUUGUUCUUUAGAAUCCUCUGGUAAUGGUCCGGCAACAGGCUUUACCUUCUUAUCUGCCGUUUUAUAUCUCGUCUCUACUAUGACUUCUGGUGCUUGAAAAGAUUCAAGCAUGGUAUAAACCUCUCUCGAAUGAAUCUCAACAAUCUUAUCAUUAUCCCCUAACCCAAUAGAUGUAAUCAAUUCCAAUGAAUCUACCAGCCCAUUUUCUUCAUAAACACCCAAAAUCCUCUCAUCAUCUUGCAAUGUACCUAUCUUGCGUAACUGUCCUUCAAUAUCAUAUAAUCUUUUUCUUUCUUUUCUUUUAAAAUCUUCAACUUUCUUAUACAUAAUAUUUCCAUUCUCCAAUAUACCAAUAAAACUCGCAUCAAAGGCACCUUCAUCUCGCGAGAGUACCUCCUCUUUUGUACCUCCAUAAUCUUGCUUUACAGUGGUACCUCCCCAAAAUCCUUAAAUCCUUCAACAAUCUUUGGCAAUGGUUUCUCCCUCAACCUAUCUCGAUUCCGUUCAUGGUUAGGAGGUACUGUUAGAAAUUGUACAGCUUUCCUCCCAUCUUCGCUCCGUACCCUUGCAUAAGCAGAACCAUCGUCAAGUACCUUUGUUUCUAUCCGUAUUGCCGUGAUAUAAGGUUGUCCUAAAAUCAACGGAUAAGACGUUGUAUCUUGAACGAAGAAAUGUUGCUCCGUCGCAACAUCCCCAAUCCGAAUUUUGACAUCUAGACGAGCUCCAUAUAAUUCGCCUCGUGUGUUAUUAGCUGCUCGUAUUGCCCAUCCAUGUUCCAUAUCAAUUGGCCAUUUUUGCUUCUUAUAAAGAUCUUUAGACAUGAGAUUUAUUUCAGAACCAUGGUCCACCAAAGCAACUAUUGGUUCUUCUAUAUCUCUUACCUUCACCAAUACCUUAGUAGUUGCCCUUGCCCAAUGCUUUCGAGUAUAAUGGCUAAAAGUUUCCAUUUCUUUGUCACUAGAAUCUUCGAAACGUACUCGCUGAUUAUACCCAUUCUUUUCAUUUGUUGGUUGCUUGUAACCAAUAUCAACCUCUUCUUCAUCUCUACAUAUUCUUGCACCAAUAGCAUGACUCAUUCCAGUUUCGCUCAUUAAUUGCCUCUUUCGCUUAAUGCUGUCAAUGAUAACAUCAUGAAACUCCUUCUUUGCAAUUCCCAAGACUUCUUUCAAUGUGAAUUCCACCUUAGCGUUUAAUAUACGUUCUUCCAACACCCCUUUCAAAUUUGUUGCCGCUUCAAUGUCAGAAAGUAGCUUAUAAGCAAUUGAUUUGCCCUUAUCUUUUGUCUCCGUUGUUUUUCCUGCCAAUGAUGCUAAGGUAUCCUUUACAGGCAAUUCUUGUGAAGCUGCCUCCCGAGCCUUGUCUCCUCGAGUUUGCCUCUUAAAAGAAUUUCCUUCUCUAGUAUAAUCAAAAUUUCCUUGUCUUUUUUCUUCCAUCAAAGCUUCAUAUUGGCUCUUAGCAAUAUAUGCAUGAACUGAAAGAGACUCAACAGGAUCCUCCCAACCUGUUCUUCCUCGUAUUGUAGCUGCAGUUCUCAAUAACGCUUCUCGAGGUAAUUUCCCUUCUUGCAUUGUAGAAACGGCAGAAGCCCAAAACUCACUAGUUUCCGUACUUCCACCAAUUUCAUCAUCUACUCUAGCACCAUAACUUGCACUUUCUCGUACUACUGUUUCAUACUCUUUUAAGUAAUCUUGAACCAAUGCUCUCAUUCCUCCCUUGCCAAAAUUGGUUUGAAGAAGAUCCUCCCUAUCUUUCAAUGCUAUCUUCCCAUCUUUCCAGCAAAUAAUUCCCUGCCGUAUCAUAUUAUUAAAUUCAUUGCAAUCUUUUCUAGUGUGUGAAGCAUCAUCACACCAAAUGCAUCUUUGUACAUAUCCUUGUUUUGAAACAUUCUUCGAAUUGUUUAUAGAAGUAUUUUCUUCAAGUCUUGCCAAUUUGAUUUGAAGAUCUCGCAUUCCUCGUAUAAUUUCUUCCAUACCCAUAUCUACUUACUUUGACAAGGAUGUCGAAGGUUGAACUGUAGGCAUUGUCGGUGGUAUUGUACGUACUGGAGCUUUGGGUGCUUGUACUGUUUUCAGAAUAUUACUCUUAUCCUUCCUCCUUUCUUUUUUUGUAAGCAACCCCACCGCAUCUUCAACGUUCUUCCACUUCGUUGUCAAUCCUUCAUCUUCUUCUUUGUCUUCAAGAAGGGGUUCUAAUUUCUCUUGCAAUUCUCCAUCAGCAGCUUGAAAAAAUAGAUCAACUUUGUUCGGCUCCAAUGUCAAUUUUUCUACCUUCGAUAAUUGAGAGUACUGCCUCUCAAAUUCCCUUAGUAGCUCUGUUGCUUGCAAAUUCUUAUUGGGCCAUUCAAUCCAUCCCAGAAACAGCUUCUUAGUAACGCGAUCAGCAUCUUCCAAGAAAUAUUCGUCUUUCAAUGCAUGUGAAAAAUCCUCCCAUGAAUUCCCAUAAUGAUCCGUAAUCGAUGUAAUGUGGUCCCUUAUCUUCGGUAGCGUGGCAAGUCCAAAUAGUGCAACCAUUUUUUUCUCAGAAACCCGAUUUAAUUCCAUUUCACGAACAUAACAUCUUAAAUACCUUGAAAUAUUCCUCCCAUCAAAUUGAUCAAUUUUAUUGACCACUGCUUGCAAUGCUUUGGUUGCCAAAGCUUCCUUUCGAUCAUUGCUUUGCUGUUGCUGCAUUGACAAUGAGAAGGCUUGAAACAAACUAGCAAUAGACGGAUCCAUGUGCAUACCUUGUCCUUUAGAAGACUCCCCACCAGAAACUUCUCCCAAAAAUCCUUCAAAAUUUUUAUUUUCGUUUUCCAUAAAAAUAAAGAUAAAAUCAACCGAAAUUCAAUACCUUCCACCUCAAGCUUUCACGUCGGGUUCACCACUUAUGUCGUAUUACGUGCUUUCCUACUCGAGAACGCGCCGGACGUCUGGCUGUAGAAGGUAGUAUGGAGAUUCGUCGAUAGUCACGCAGUCUAUCAGUUUUUGACUGCUGGAAUAUAAACGACUGCAACAAUGUACAGUAAAUCUAUACGGGUGCUCUUCGACUGCUUGUCGAAGUCCUUUUUGCCCGAGCCGAUAGGUCUCUAGACGUUAUAGAGAACCCCGAACAACCCAAACUGUUAAUCUUCAAUACCCCUUUGUACUUACGAUCUUGUAUCCACUGACUGUCCUGUUAGAUUAACCCAAUAAAUUUCAUUCACUCCGCAUACUCAAUCCUAUAGACACCCUUUUAAUCCUUCAAUCACAGACGUAACUUGAUUUUACAAAACAGUCAAGAGUAUUCAAACCCACUUCAUUUAAAAAUCCCGAUUCACCAUUACAACACUGACUUCAACAGCGAUUGCCUCAGUCUUUCCAAAACUCUACGAAGAAGAAAAAUCCAAAUUCUAUGUCUUUCCUUCCCCGACCCGAAGCAUGAAGCUCCUCUUCUCUAAUUCCCUUGAUCUUCCAAAAACCUCCAAUGAAAAACCGAACUGGUAAGUUUGCAGAAGCUUGAAAAAUCCUUCCCCCCCGAUUUCCCCUCAAAAAAAAAACCUCACACCCUCCAAAACUAUAUCCCCCCUAACCUUAUCCUCUGAAUUUCUUCAAUCUUCCGUCUUAGAUCCGGAAUUGGCUCCCACCUCAAGCUUGGAUCCGAAAUUGGCUCUCGCCGUCAAGCUUUCUCCUCCGUUUUUGCCUUUAAGAAAUCCAUUUACCGAAAACAACGUUCCCUGAGACGGCACAGAGAACAGGACAGCCAGAAACAGAAUCGAACACCGUAAUCGGGACCACAUUGAGUCGCCCGACCAAUUCAGGUCCUAUAUUGGGAAAGAUGCCCGUAGUAACCUGGAUGUUUCCGUAAUUGGAUCAAAUUGGUCCUCGCGUCAGAUUGGCUAAGACCCGUAGUAAGACCUGGAUUUUCCGUAAUUAGACUGCAUUGGGUUGACCAGCCAAUUCAGGUCUCAUAUUGGAUAAGAGGACCCAGAUUGGAUUAUCGAAAUUGGAUCCAAUUGGCUCCUCGAACCCGUCGUGUGAAUUGGUCCUUCUCUUCCUGCUGACUCCCGUUAUAGGAAUCGAAUGGAGCAUUUCAGUAUGCCCCGGCUGACUGUAACGGAGUGACCGAACCUGACCACUCAGUAUUUGUACUUGAGUUGAUCAAUGCUCCCAAUAUUCAAGGUAACUGAAUAUUAAUAAAAUUCCCCUUUCUUUUUAUUUUCACUGUAUAAUCCUGUUACAACACGACAACGUGCUUCUCCUUCUGGAACAUAUAGGCGUCCUUCAAAAUAUAAUAGAUUAUUCUUGAACUCGAGCUUAGAAGAAUCAUGAGACUUGGAAGAAUUAUUCUCGAUAUCAUAAACAAGAGGGUCUGAGGACAUACUGGACUGGAUUUACUUGAAAAAAGUUGAAUCAACAGUCAAUGUUGAUUUCAUUGCUCGGAGAUGAAAUUGCUGUGGUUUCAAGAGGAUCGUUCUUUGUUGCUCAAAAGCAGCAUCUCCUUCUUUUGGUACAAAAUAAGAACGUCUAGAUAGGGCAUCAGAUAAACCUUGUUGUUUUCCUGGCCGAUAAGUGAUAAUGAACUCGAAUCUUGACAAAGACAUACUCCAACGAGCUUGAUGACGAUUCAACACGCGUGCUGACAUGAAAUACUCGAGGUUCUUGUGAUCUGUAUACACAGUGACUGGACUAGAAGCGCCUUCUAGAUAAUGACGCCAUUCUUGAAAGGAAUCCACGAUCGCAAGAAGUUCUUUAUCGUGGAUCUCAUAAUUGAUCUCGGCUGCUGAGAAUUUUCUUGAAUGAAAAGCUAUUGGAUGAAGUUUGUCAUCUGUUCCCAUUUGUGAUAAAACUGCACCCAAGGCAAAAUCUGAUGCAUUUGUUUCCAUAAAAAAUGCCUUGGAAAAGUCAACACGAUAUAAGACUGGUGCAGAGACAAACGAUGUCUUCAAGGCUUCAAAUGCUGCUUCCGCUUCUUGAUUCCAUUGGAAUUUAUCUUUACUAGUCAAGCGUGUAAGUGGAGCUGCAACUCGUGAGAAAUCUUUGAUGAAGAUCCGAUAAUAAUUGGCAAAUCCCAAGAAACAUUGAACAUCUCUUACUGUCCUUGGAAUCUUCCAAUCCAUGAUUGUUUGGACUUUCUUAGAAUCCAUCAUGAGACCAUCAUUUGAAAUGAUGUAUCCUAAAAAGUAAACUUGAGUAGUGUGAAAUACACACUUUUCCAUCUUGGCGUAUAAUCCUGCAUCUCUAAGUUUUUGUAAUACUUGACGAACAUGUAUUUCAUGUUCUUCGACGUUCUUAGAAUAGAUCAGGAUAUCGUCUAGAUAGCAGAUGACAAAAUUGUCUAAGAAUUCAUGAAAUACAUCAUUCAUGAGAUGUUGAAAAGCAGCUGGUGCAUUCGUGAGUCCAAAGGGCAUGACAUUAUAUUCGAAAUGUCCAUACCUGGUUCGAAACGCAGUCUUCCAUUCAUCUCCUUCUUUGAUCCGUACUAGAUUAUAUGCUCCUCUUAGAUCUAUUUUUGUAUAGAUCUUAGCUUGAUUCAACUGGUCAAGGAGUCCUGAUAUCAAAGGUAAUGGAUACCUGUUCUUGAUUGUGAUCUUAUUGAGUCCUCGAUAAUCAACACACAUUCGUAAAGAUCCAUCUUUUUUCUUUACGAAUAGAAUUGGAGCUCCUGCUGGAGAUUUUGAAUGGCAUAUGAAAUUCUUCGCUAAAUUCUCGUCAAUAUAUGUCUUGAGUUCAGCCAUCUCAUCUUGCGAUAAACUGUAAAUUGGUCCAAAUGGUGGCUGAGUUCCUUCCUUGAGGUCGAUUGAACUAUCAUAUGGGCGAUGCUCAGGAAGAAUAUCUGCAUUUUUUUUCUCAAAAACGUCUUGAUACUCCUGAUAUUGACUUGGAAUGCUACUUGAAGUCUUUACGUUUUCAGAAAUAGGUGCAGCAUAAAUAGCAAAAGUUAAUCCUUCUUUUGCUGCGUAUAUAAAUGCUUUUGCACCUAUCAGUACGGGUUUUACUAUACUAGACUUAUAAUUUUUUACUUGGUUGGUAGAACUAUUAAUAACGCUCUAGGAAAAGUCAAGUUUACAUAAAUUCCAAUCUAUUCAAGGGUUAUAUUUUUCUAGCCAAGAUAAACCUAAAAUAACUGGAUUGGAUGGAGAUUUAAUUAUGUUAAAAGCUAUGUAGCUAUCAUGACCGUCUAUUGUUACUUUUAUAGGAUGAGUUUCAUGAGUGACAUCUCCAUAAGACAAGGGACGACCAUCUAUGACUUCUACAUGUACUGGUUUAGGUUUCUGUACAAAGUGUAUUUUACGACUUUUAACAAAUUGUUCAUCUAAAAAACAUGCUGAGGCUCCCGAAUCUAAUAAAGCAGAGGCUUUGUAAUUCUUAGGUCCUAAAUAUAAGUCUAUUAUAAAACAAAGAGAGGAUUUUGAGGAGAGGAUAGGACCUUCAUUAGGAAUUGUACAAGGUUCCAGCUGCACGGUCCCUAUUGUAGCUGGACGAAUCCGUUUUCUGACAUGCUGUCUUCUUUGACCGUCGUACCCCUCAUUUUAUAGUUGCGUCUUUUCUUUGGACAAUGUUGAGCAGUGUACUUAGGUUCUCCGUAAUAUAAACAUAAUCCUUCUUGACGAUGACGAAUCUUUUCUUGCUCAGUUAGGGGUUUAAAACGUACUGCGUCAAUUUGCAUGUCUUCUACUUCCGAAUGUACGUUUGGCAAAGAUGUUGAUGUUGCCAUUGAGUAAUAACGUUGAGGUUCCCGUGAAUGAUUCUCGGAUCAAAAUUCAAAAAGUCGAUUAUCACAUUUUAUCGCAAAAUUGAUUGCUUGACUCAAAGUUUGAGGAUCAGGUAAGUUGAGCAUCAAUUUCUUUACUUCGUAUUGCAAUCCAUAAAGAAAUUGACUGAUGAGUGCAGCAUCAUCCCACUUGAUGUCAAUUGUAAGUUGUCGAAAUUGUGAAGCAUAUACUGUUACUGAGCGAUUUUCUUGUCGCAAAAUUCGGAUCUUAUUUGUUGCAACACGAGUUGCAUCGUGUUCACCAUACAUAGAUCGAAACUCCGCCAAAAAAGCUUCCAAAUUAUCCAAUAUUGGAUUUCGUUGUUCAAGAAAAGACGAAAACCACGAUAAUGCAGAAUCAGAAAGUAAAGUGCCAAUAAACCUGACUUGUGAUCCUGGAGUUGGAUAGCUUUGCGGUUGAAGUUCAAUUGCCAAUUAUACUUGAUUGUUGAACCCUCGAAACUUUGAUCUCGUACCAUCAAAUUUCUCAGGUAAGGCAAUUCUUGGUUGUCUAGUGCUUAUAGGGUGUUGUACAAUUGGAAAAAGAACGUGAUUUGUUGUAGAUGUUGAAGCAGCUCCGAUCAUCUCUAUAUCCCCACUUUCUACUAUUCUUGUUCUUUCCUGUGUUGGUGAAUUGAGUUGAUGCAUCGCAAGCAUUAACUCCCUCAUUUGCUCUUGCAUUUGUGCCAUUGCACUCUUCAUUUCAACAAGCUCUGCCAUAAUGACACUAAGAAGAAAAAUUUGUUUAAUAUUGCUCAAGACAAAAGAAAAGAAAGACUUGAUAACAAAGAAGAUACUAAGAACAAUAUCAGUUUAGAAGUGGGUAAUCCGCAAACUUCUAAUACGCUUAUGUCUUGUCAAGAGAAAGGAGUAAUCCACUCUUACUCAAGAAAAAAUAAAGCUCUGAUAUUGUAAAUGUACUCUUGUUAAUCUGUCAAGGACAAGAACUCGAUGAAAAAUAAUUCAGACAAGCAAGCCUUCACUCAAAGAGAGGUAACAAAAUAUAUAUAAAUAAGUAUAUAUAUUGAAAUAGAAACUGGAAUGGCUAUUGCCAAAAGACAAGAAAACUAGAGACCCUUGAAACUAGACUAGAAGCAAGAAAGGAGUUGACAAGAGUGAAGAAGCCUUCACUCUUGUUUCUAUAUAUACUAUCUAACUAGGGGCUACCUGGCGACAUUCUAUAGGACCUCCAAUAUGUGUUGACUUUGUAGGACACAUGCCUUGACUUACAAGGCAAGUUUUUCUACGUGUGGGCCACAUAGUUAGCUUAAUCUCCAAGCUAACAACAUAUGUGGCACAUGGCCAACUUGUUGACCACGUUUCUAAUCCAAAAAGUCAAUUAAAGACACCUAUGAAGUCAAAGCAACGUCUAGGAAGUUUCUAGGAAGCUUCUAUAUUAAAUAUUAUAGAAUUAACUUACUUUUAUCUACUUUUAGUUACUUCUACCUAUUCUUAUAUGUAAUUAUUAGCUUACAUGAUUAUGGCCGUGACAAAUAUGUACAAAGAUGCAUUUGGUGUGAUGACGCUUCACACAUUAGGAAAGAUUGCAAUGAAUUAAAUAAUAUAAUACGGCAAGGAACUAUUUGCUGGAAAGAUGGGAAGAUAGCAUUAAAAGAUAGGGAGGAUCUUCUUCAAACCAAUUUUGGCAAAGGAGGAAUGAGAGCAUUGAUUCAAGAUUACUUAAAAGAGUAUGAAACACCAGCAUGAGAAGGUGCAAGUUAUAGUGCUAGAAUAGAUGAUGACCUUGGUGGAAGUAUGGAAACUAGUGAGUUUUGUGCUUCUGCCAUUUCUACAAUGCAAGAAGGAAAAUUACCUCGAAAAGCGUUAUUAAGGACUGCAGCUACAAUACGAGGUGCAACAGGUUGGGGGGAUCCAAUUGAGUCUCUUUCAGUUCAUGCAUAUAUUGCUAAGAGCCAAUAUGAAGCUUUGAUGGAAGAAAAAAGACGAGGAAAUUUUGAUGAUAUGAGAGAAGGAAAUUCUUCUAAGAGGCAAAUUCAAGGAGACAAGGCUCGGUAGGCAGCUUCACAAGAAUUGCCUGUAAAAGAUACCUCAGCAUCAUUGGAAGAAAAAAUAAGGGAGACAAAAGAUAAGGGCAAAUUAAUUGCUUAUAAGCUACUUUCUGACAUUGAAGCGACAACAAAUUUGAAAGGGGUAUUGGAAGAACGUAUAUUAAGCGCUAAGGUGGAAUUCACAUUGAAAGAAGUUUUGGAAAUUACAAAGAAGGAAUUUCAUGAUGUUAUCAUUGACAGCAUUAAGCAAAAGAAGCAAUUAAUGGACGAAACUGAAAUGAAUCAUGCUAUUGAUACAAGAAUAUAUAAAGAUGAAGAAGAGGUUGAUAUUGGUUACAAGCAACCAACAAAUGAAAAGAAUGGAUAUAAUCAAUGAGUACAUUUCGAAGAUUAUAGUGAUAAGGAAAUAGAAACUUUGAGCCAUUAUACUCGAAAGCAUUGGGCAAGGGUAACUACUAAGGUAUUGGUGAAAGUAGGAGAUAUAGAAGAACCAAUUGUUGCUUUAGUCGACCAUGGUUCUGAAAUAAAUCUCAUGUCUAAAGAUCUUUAUAAGAAGCAAAAAUGGCCAAUUGAUAUGGAACAUGGAUGGGCAAUACGAGCAGCUAAUAACACACGGGGCGAAUUAUAUGGAGCUUGUCCAGAUGUCAAAAUUCGGAUUGGGGAUGUUGCGAUGGAGCAACAUUUUUUUGUUCAAGAUACAACAUCUUAUCCGUUGAUUUUAGGACAACCUUAUAUUACAGCAACACGGAUGGAAACAAAAGUACUUGACGAUGGUUCUGCUUAUGCAAGGGUAUGUAGCGAAGAUGGGAGGAAAGCUGUACAAUUUCUUAUAGUACCUCUUAACCAUGAACGAAAUCGAGAUAGGUUGAGGGAGAAACCAUUGCCAAAGAUUGUUGAAGGAUUUAAGGAUUUUGGGGAGGUACUACUAUAAAGCGAGAUUAUGGAGGUACAAAAGAGGAGGUACUUUCGCAAGAUGAAGGUGCCUUUAAUGCGAGUUUUAUUAGUAUUUUGGAGAAUAGAAAUAUUAUGUAUAAGAAAGUUGAUGAUUUUAAGAGAAAAGAAAAAAAAAGAAUAUAUGAUAUUGAAGGAGAAUUACGCAAGGUAGGUAUGCAGCAAGAAGAUGGAAGUGAUUUGGAUAAUGAAGGUGACAAAGGCAAACUGGACAAAGAUGUAAAGAAUAUAUUAUAAAUCAAACUACAAUUGGGUAAAUUGGUGCAUACCGAAGGAUGCACUGGUUCAGAGGGGGUGGAUGUCGUAUUGUAACAUGAGUAUACCAUGAAAAUAUAAAAAAAGGGGACUUUUAUUAAUGUUCAGUUACCUUGAAUAUUGGGAGUAAUGACCGAUUCUAGUGCCAAUAUUCAGGGGCCAGUUUAGACACCCCGUCACUGUCGAUCAGGGCAUACUUACUAGUAACAAAUUACUCCGUUCGAGUCCUAUAGUGGGAGUCAACAGAAUUGAAAGGAUUAAAUCGAUGACUGAGCGAGCCUGACAUGAAGGACCAAUUUGACCCAAUUACGGGAACAUCCAGGUCUUAUUAUGGGCCUCUUAGCCAAUCUGAUGCGAAGGACCAAUUUGACCCAAUUACGGGAACAUCCAGGUCUUACUACGGGCCUCAUAGUCAAUCUGAUGUGAAGGACCAAUUUGACCCAAUUACGGGAACAUCCACGUCUUACUAUGGGCCUCUUAGCCAAUAUGAGAUCUGAUUUGGUCGGGCGACUCAAUGUGGUCCCGAUUAUGGGGGUUUCGAUUUUGUUUCAGGCUGUCCUGUUCUAUGUGCUGUUUCAGAGAACAUUGUUUCCGAAAAAAGAACCUUUUAAAAGGCAAAAAAUGGAGGAGAAAGCUCUGACAGCAGAGCGAAUUCUGGAUCCAAGACUAGGGUUAAGAUGAGAGGCUAGGAUUUGAAAGAGGAGAGAAUUAGGGUUAAAGAAGAAGAUAGGUUAAGAAAUUAAGGGAGAAGAAUCAAGGAUUUUAAGGGUCGGAGAGUUAGCUUCAUGCUUUGGAGGGGGAAAAAAGACAGAGAAUUGGGGUUUUUUUUUUCUUCAUAGGGUUUUGGAAAGACGGAGGCAAUCAUUGCUCAAAGUCAAUGUUGUACUGGUGAAUCGAGGUUUUAAUGAAGUGGGUGUGAUUACUCUUGACUAUUUUGUAAAAUCGAAGUUACGUCUGUGAUUGAAGAAUUAAAAAGGUGUGUAUAGGAUUGAGUAUGCGGAGUGAAUGAAAAUUUUUGGGUUAAUCUAAUAAGACAGUCAGUGGAUACAAGGUCGUGAGUAUAAAGCGAUAUCGGAGAUUAGCAGAUUGGGUUAUUCGAGGUUCUCUGUAACGUCUAGAGACUUAUUGGCUGGGACAAAAUAGGAUUUCGACGAGAAGUCGAAGGACAUCCAUAUAGAUUUACGGUAUAUUCUUACAAUCAUUUAUAUUCUAAUAGUCAAAAACCAAUAGACUUUUUGAAUAUUAGCAAAACUCCACACUACCUCCUAUAGCCAAACGUCCGGUGCAUUCUUGAGCAAGAAAGUACGUAAUACGACAACGGUAAUCUCAGAUUACACUUAGACCUCACAUUACGGUGACUUUUCAAUCAUUUUGGUGCUCUCUUUGUUCUUUUUAUCGACAUUGUGAAAAUCAAACUCUCAAUACUUCCUCGCACUAAUACUAUUGUUGAUUACUGUCGUAAAACUUACAGUUCAAAGUACAAUGUCUGAAAUUUGCAACAAUGAAACUUUCUAUGAAUGCCCCGCUCCUAACAACUUACUCGAGGUCCGAAUCAAAAACAUCUAAUCUAGUGUAACUUAAUCUCAUGUCUUAUCAAGAAUGUCUAAUUUCUUGACUAGUUAGUUUCAGUAUCCAAAACUAACCAUCAAUCAUUUCCUAACUAUCACAACCUUUCCAAUCCUGUCGGUAAUCAAUAUUACAGAGACUUCCUCCCUCCACUGAGUAAAUCUAUCCCAGAUUUAUGUAUAAUACAGACGUAACCUGUUUCUAUUAACACGUAAAGUGAAGUGGGUUCCCAGAAAAUCUUUCAAUUGAAUGGAACUAAUAGGGAAACCUUCCACCACCCGAUAUGGUCCAUGCCAUCGUACUUGAAAUUUAUCAAGAAAGUUGUUAAAGUGGCUAUCAUAAAGUAGCACCAGAUUAUUGGACAUAAAAUAUUUCAGCCGUAACUUAUUGUCAUAAUAACUCUUUCUACAGCGCUGUAUAGCUUCCAUGAUCAAGAGAGCCCUAGCCCUAACUUCAUCCAAUUUCUCCAAUUGGACUAACCUAUAUUGAAGAGAGUCUCUGUCUCCCAAAUGUUCAUCCAACGUAAUUCGUAAACUUUGGACUUCCAAUUCAAUUGGUAGAAUUGCCUCCUGACCGUAUACCAAUUGAAAUGGGAUAGAAUUGGUAGUUACUUUAUAUGCAAUAUGGUAUGCCAAUAAAGCUGCAAAUAAUUUAGUAUCCCAAGCAGUUCCCGUUUUUGAAAUAGUCUUUGUUAAGAUCUUGCAUAGAAUACCAUUUAUCUUUUCGGUCCGCCCAUUGGCUCAUGGAUGAUAAGGUGUAGUUUUGUGGUGCUUGAUUUCAUACUUUGCUGUUGAUGCUUCAAUUGUGGCAUUAAAAAAAUAUAUAUUGCAAUCACUAAUCAAUUCUUUUGGACAACCAAAAGGAGCGAUAAUGUUCUCAUAUAAAAAUAUUGCUACGAUAUUGGCAUUAUCAAUUUUUGUUGCCAUGGCCUCCGCCCAUUUGGUGACAUAAUCGGUGGCUACUAGAAUAUAACAUUUAUAUCCAUUUUAAGAGGCAGGUGCAAUGGAUCCAACAAAAUCAAUUCCCCAUUUCUCAAAUGGUGCCUGUACCAAGAUUGGUACUAACGGCAUCAAUGAAGUACCCAUGGGUCGACCAAUUCAUUGACAGGGAUCACAACAAUGAACAAAUUGAUGCGCAUCAGAAAACAUUGUGGGCCACCAAAUAACCAGCCAUUAAAGCCUUGCGAGUAGUACUGUCUCUCGCAAAAUGUCUACCACAACUAUCCAAAUGACAUCCUUCCAAAAUUGUAUGAACUUCACUUUGAAAGAUGCAACGGUGUAAAAUUCCAUCCCGCCCUUGUUUGUACAAGGCAUCUCCAAUCAUGGUAUAUGGCGCACUUUUUAAAAUCAGACGUUUCUUUAAUUUUUCAUUAUAAGAAAUGAGAAAAGUCUGAAACGUUAGAUAUUAGAUCAAUUCACCAUAUUCAGAUGUAAUAGUUGUGCAUCCAAAAGAGCAUCGUUUAUGAGCUCAUUACCCGGUAUAUUAGAUAAACGGGAUAAGUGAUCUGCAUUGGCAUUUUUCUUGCUGAGUCAAACGUUAAUCAUAAAGUUGAAUUCCUGGAGAAGUAACAUCCAUCAAGUAAUUCGUCUGCUCAAUUGAGGUUUAUUUAUCAGGUAUUUAAGUGCAUCAUGAUCAACGUGGAACACAAAUGAGUAUCCAAGUAGAUAGUCAUGGAAUUUCUGUACAAAGUAGAUCAUUCUGAGGGCCUCUUGCUUGGUAGUAUUAUAAUUUUGUUCUGCAGCAACAAAUUAUCGACUCGCAUAAUAUAUGGGAUGUUCUAAUCUUUUUUCAUCCCUUUGACUAAGAACAAAUCCAAUAGCAAUAUUGGAUGUAUCCACAUAGACAUGAAAUGGUUUUGUCCAACAAAGUAUUACAAGAAUUGGGACAGAUACCAAUUUCCAUUUCAAUUCGUCGAAUGCAAAAAUACGGUCUUCAGUCCAUAUUGGAUUAGAUCCCUCUGAUGGGGGUUUUUUAAACAAGUGGAUUAACGAUUGAUAGAUAAUCACAAAGGAUUCAAUAAAACGUCGAUAGUAGCUGACAUGGCCGAUGAAACCGCGCACGGCCGACACUGCAUUUGGCUUUGGUAAUCUCAAUAUACGAGUAAUUUUAUCGAGGUCCAUAGCGAUAUCUUCAACAGAGACAAUGUGUUCCAAUAGCUUUCUCGAUGGUACGCCAAAUUGAUAAUUCUCUAAAUUUAGAAAUAUCCCAUACUUGUCGCAUUGAUUCAAACAAUUAUCUAAGCAUGCUAGAUGUUCAACUGUUGUGCCAAAAGUGCAGAAAUCAUCCAAAAAUAUCUCCAUUGAUAAACGUAGGUAAUCUUGAAACGCUUGUGUCAUUAUCCAUUGAAAAGUAGCUGGGGCAUUAUAUAACCCAAAUGGCAUUACUUUAUUGGUGAAUGUACCCCAAUCUGUGGUAAACGUAGUCUUCAACUGGUCUUCUUCGACAAUUUUAAUUUGAUUAUAUCCCAAAAAUCCGUCCAAAAAUGAGUAACAUUCAUGUCCAACCACUGCGUCCAAAAUACUAUCUAUAAAUAGUAACGAAAAAUAGUCCUUCUUAGUAGUCGCAUUUAACUUUCAAAAAACUUGACAUAUCCUAAUUUUUCCAUUCUUCUUUGGUACCAUCACGAUUGGCGACAUCCAUACACUAUGCAGAACAGGAUAAAUAAAAUCCAUGUCGAGAAGUUUAUCCAAUUCUUCUUUCACUAAAAGAGAAUAUUUUGACUUAAGCCGAUGUUGUCUUUGACGAACUGGCAUAACACCCUCCUCUAUAAUAAUCUGGUGGUCAAAGACGUCAGCUGGAAUGCCUUUCAAAUCCGCAUACCACCACGCAAAGGCAAAUUUGUGAUGGACAAAAAAGUAUUUCCAAGCAUCCAAUUCUGUACCGAUAAUACCGACAUAUAUUUUAAUUAGCUGUGGCAUUUCGUUGAUACCCAAGUUAAUAGAUUGACACACAAGGUCUUCAACAACCUCUAAUUUAAUUGUCUUCCCCUAAUCUGAAUAUCUUAUAUUAUCCGACAUAUGGGAACCAUCCAAAUCUGGUUCCAAUGUGCUGAUUCUAUUAACUGCGGAAUUGUUCAUUCAUUCGGCAAUAGCAUGAUCCAAGUUAGUUGCAUCCUCCUGAUGCAAUAAAUAUUCGCUAGGACUUUCACAUUGGUAGACUCCUGCCUUUGCUGUUGAAGUGUUUUGUCCUACCCCAAAUUGCGGUGAACCUAUAGCAUCAUCAUCUGCCUUAAUCGAUUGACUCUCGUUGUCCGAUGUAAAUUUUGAUUCUGGCAAUUGAGAUUUUCCAUGAUAUUGUACUGGGUACAUCUGUAGAACAAUCUGGUCACGGCUUUUUUCAAUUGUCAAUGUGCCUUGACUUCAAUCGUUCUUAGCUUUGGCUUGAUAAAACCAAGAUCUAUCCAAUAAAAUGGAAUAUGAUAAUGUAGAACUCUGUAAUCGAAAUACAAUAUAAUCGAUUUUUUAUGUCAAUCUCGCGAUUACAGUGGCAAUAUUGCAUAAGAUUUCUAUUGGCUUUCUAUGACUAUGAUUUACCAUUCGCAAGACCAAUGUCAUAGGUAGCAAUUGCUUUAGAUCCAAGUCCUCUAUUGUAUCCGCGUUCAUUAAAUUUACACUGGAGCCACCAUCGACUUGUAUCCCUGGAAUUAAAAUGCCAUCGAUUGAUACAUCGAUUGUUGGUGCUCCCAGAUCUCGGUUUAAGCUAACUUCCUAAAUUUUUUUAGUGUGGGAUCUUCAUCAUAUUAACGCUAAAUUCAAUGUAGAUCGACAUUUUGAUGCUAUAGCCAAAAGUUACUUCAUUGUAAUUGAAGGCUAAAUAACAUCCAAAUCCUUCAAAAUAUCGUAGGAUUCCAUAUUGAGAGUAAUUUCCAAUGCUCUUUUGCGUUUCAUUGGUUUCGAUUUUAUUCCAUUCGACAGUAAUUCCUUCCUGGCGAUUGAGAUUACCAUUGGUGACUUUGCCAACUUUUCUACAACUAAAGAUUACUUUAAUGCGUAAGAUCUUUUAUUGAGUUGUAUAGGUAUUAGUACUUGGUCAAUUGGGAUCGAUCUCUAUGGUCUCGACAAAUUGGCACAUGGGACCGAAUUAGGUUCCUUAGUCUGUUGAGGUCUCAAUAUUGGGAUAUGUCUCAAUACUGAUAUUGGUUCGUUUAGCCCCAUGGAUGGUGCUACUAGCUCUCCUGCGAUUAGUUCAUCUAGGUCCUGAAUUGGAUUCUUAUCUUUUUGUUGGCCUCUGAUAAGUACUGCGUUCACCACCUUGACAAAAUGUACUGGUGAGUCUCGUUGAACAGAGCCUUUGUCUUCCACCGGCUGGCUUAUUUACAUUUGCUGGUCCCGAUUAUUAUAAUUAAAGGGCGCAUUGCACUGCUGAUAAGUGUAAUCAGACUACUUACAAUUUCCACAUAUUAGAGCAUAGUCAUCACUAGCCCUUGGAUUAGGACAUUCACUCGCAUAAUGUCCGAUUUGUCUGCAAUGAUAGCAACGAAGUGAUUUCUUACCAACUCCUUCAGGGAUAUUGGGUGUCUCUAUUGGUAUAUAAUGACUAGGUCUGUUUCAUGUCGGAUGAGUAAAGGAUCUUGAUUGAUCCAUUGUAACUAUAGAGUCUGGCAUUGGCUUCGUCAUAGGUGGAUAUUGAUGGUAUCCUAGUUGGUUCAUCGCCAAUCCGUGAGUAUUGGAUAUACUUUCUUGGUGAAAUUCAGAGUUUAGGAAAUUAGAAUAAUUCCUAUUUUGUUUAUUCGCUCGAUUUCCAUUCCAGCCAAACCUAUUAUUCGUUUGUACUUGAUUGACAUUCCAUUGGGUUGGUUGAGUCAUUAUCUAGUUACUGAGUUAUUAUUGCUUCCAUAAAUUCCAACAAUUGGUGGUAAUAUGCUUGCCCCCAUAAAAAGUAUAUUGUACAGUCAUUUGGGGAGAUGAAGGACAUUCUGUUACUAAAUAAUUUUGCCCCUUACAAUUGCUGCACCAGACAUUGGGAUGCAUAUUGGUUGUUUUAUGCCUCUUCUCCUUAUCUUUGACCACAUUGAUAGCCAUUUCCUCCAUUUUUUUUGUCAAAUUCAAUAACAAGGUUUCAUUGGAAUCUUUUAGGACUAGAAUUAUUGAUAUCUCUGUUGUAGUUAACACUUAUUGUUGAUACGGUGUUGGGGUAGAGAGGUUUUGCCUCAAGAAAGCACUGGGCUUCAGGUUGUCAUUAAUUACUCAAUCGAGCUUAAAAUAAGGAAACCCUAAUUUUAUAUAUAUAAGUUCUCCUUUUGGGACAAUUACACCAAAUACUUAAGUAUUAAAUAACCAACAACAUCCAAAAUAUGGUAGAAAUACACUAAAACCUUGUAUAUCCUUGUGUGGAAAUUCUCCCGAAUCUCAACAACCCAUAACUCUUGAUCCAACCGUCCAAACAAGAUCAAAAUUUACAGAAAGUACUGAUAUGUUGUUAUUAAUUUGUACAACAAAUUUCAACUGCAAAUUCGUUGCGGAUCUUGAGAUAUCUUCAAAAUCCUAACAGUCGCUUCAAAUCCUAAUCUUUGUAUACCCGUGCGCAAUUUUCUUCAUAUCUCACAAACCAUAAGUCCAAAUGCCACGAAACUUAUAUAGAUAGCUUUUUAACACAAAUUUUUACAUUCUCUCAAAGUUUGAGCCAAAAUUCGUUCGAAAACUCAAGUUAUGGCUCCUAACACUACUUUGAACAAAACCGCUCACUUACUGCCUUUGAUUUGAAUGCGCUGUCUUUAACUCCUUAUAACUCCUUCACAUAAACUCCAAAUGCAAAAUCUCCUUCACAAAAGAUGUAUGUCUUGAAGUUGCCCUUCCAGCUGCCUCUUCCGAUCUCCAAAAGCUUCCCUAAGACUCCUCUUAAACUCAAAAGAGUAACAGUAGGUCUCAAAUUGACACCUUAACUUCAAACGGCUAUAACUUAUUCAUCCUAACUCCAAACCCUAUAAAAUUUGCACAAAAAUUGUAGCCAAAAUCCUAAAAUUUACAAUCCUUGCCUCUGAUUUCCUAAUGGCUUCUUUGAAGUCGUCGAAACCCUUAUCAAGGUCGCAGGCAGCCUCCUGAAAGCCCAUUGGGCAUGGAUUUCGACCAAUGGGGAUGAAGAUCCUUAUUUCUACCUUCAUCCAACCAUGCCUUGGUUUCAUCCCUCCCAAUUAACCUCCUAUUAGUUUAAAUCUUCAUCUUUAGGCCCCUCUCUCCUCUCAAGGCUUCAUACUUAACAUUAAGGUUCUAUAACUUUUAUAUACUAUAAUCUAACUAAGUAAGGAAAACAAAAUAAAGUUUUUUUUUUUUUUUACCAACUCUUUUUAAUUUAAUAUAUUUAUCACUUUAACAAAAAUUUAGAUUUAUUAAUAUAUAAUAUAUUUUAACUAAUUUUUAUAUAUUGUAAGCAUUUACAAUAAGACAACGGAUAAUAUGGAGCAUACGCUGUUGUCACGUUCGAUGGUAUAGCUUGCAAUGGGAUGACAUUAACUAGCCCCUGAAUAUUGGUAUUGGAAUUGGUCUCUGUUUCUAACAUCCAUGGAUAACUAUACACUGAUUUAUUCCAAGUCGGAUUUUGAUAUCUACCUUGAAUUGGAAUCAUCAUGGCUCCCACAGUUAAAAACUGAUCAUAAUGGCAUUCCUUCCAAACCUUGGCUCUAUUAAGGGACGCAGCCACUGUAACGAUUUGAGCUUCCUUUACAAAAAAAUUUAGCUCUGGUGAGUGUAAACCAUUGAUUAAUAUGGAUAAGAUAAAUGCCUCCGAUAUUUGGUUAUUCAGCCACUUACUGAAUAUAUCAGCUACUCGGCCAUAAUACGAUUCCACUGCCUCCCCUAGGAUCAUUUUGCUAUUCAUUAACCUCUCUCGAAGGCAGUCUUCAAAACCAAUCAACCGAAAAUGAGAUAAAAACGCAUUCAUCAAUGCUUCCCAAUUCAGAAAUUGACCCACUUGUUGAUAAUUUUAUCAUUCAAAUGCCAUCUUUUAAGGUUGUUAGUAGCCAUCGCAACCAAAUAUCUUCAGUUCUGCCAUUAUUAGCUAUACAUGCUGUAAGAAACUGAGACAAAUGUUGAUCAUGAUCCACACCCAAAAAUCUCCAAAAAGUACAUAGUAGCGCGACACUAGUCGUUCGACCACCCACUGCACCCAUUUGUACUACAAUCGGAAUACCUGGGCCUCAUGACGCCAUUGAAUUUCUUGUUCCGCUAAACUCCAUUUUAAAAUAAUCUCUGCUUUCUCUUAUUCUAAUUUCCGAGCUCUCAAUGCUCCUCGAUUUACUAUUAUUUUUUGCAAUUAGUUUUAUUGGUUGAAUUGCAGGUGAAAAUGUCAUAUUUUGAAAUACAAUAUAGUUAUCUUUAUUGGCAACCAAUUUGUGUCAAUCUGAAGAGCCACUAUUGCUCGUUUCAGCGGUACCUCCUACUGAAAAAAUACCCAAUGGAGUACCAAAUUCUUCUAUGCCUCCUUCUCUUUCAGUUAACGGCCUCAAGAUUUCCACUUGAAUGUUAACAAAAAAUUUUGCGAGUAUUUUUGGCAGUUUUUCUAACGGUACAUACGAUUGCAAAAUUAACAGUUUGUCCAGUUUUUGAUAUGUUCAGAUGCGUCGACAAGCUUGCAACCAUGGUUUAAUCCAAUUCUAUCAAUGCUACUUUUUAAGAUUACAUUCUUGCUCUUCUCUAAGCAAAUUCCUUCCUUGUGCUCUUCCCUGUCUUUCUUUCAAUUGAUUUAUUUUCUUCGAUGCAAUGCUCUCGUUCUUAUUAACCAUAAUCUUGCUUCAAACACUAUUGAAAUCGACUUCCAUUGCCAAUUUUCUCACACGUUUGAUAAUUAAUUCCUAACAUUCAAAGCUAUUAUCACUCCCCGACAACGGUGCCAAAAUGUGGUUGUCAUUUUACUUAUUCUGGAAGAAACCUCCCAAAAUAAACUCAUAUAGGGGAAUUCAAACACAGGAAAAGACCAUGUAUAUGAGCUCCAAUUGUUAGGGUCACGUAAUUAACUGCUACUGCUAAAUGCUUAUCAUAUCGAAGAACACUUAAUUUUUUUUCUUACUAUCCACUCUCUCAUAUCAAUAUAAUAACAUCCACGACAAUGAUUUCAGUACCCUAUGUAAUUCACAAACACACAAGCAUAUCCCAAACCCUGGAACAAACAACUUCCAAUCCACAGAAUCUGAUCAAGACAAUUCCUUCGAUUACAAUUCCUCUCCACUAAAUUUACAACCUUACGAUAAAUAGUGACUGGAAACUUUCGUACGUCCUCAAUCUUUGACAACAAUCGAUAAACAGUGAUCCAUAAAUAACUUUGUAAAUCAAACAUUAAUUUAUUAAAUCAAUUCUCUUCACUAGAAUCAAUACUAACAUAAAAAAAAAUAAGAAAACUAAGAAGAAGAGAUAGCACUAAGCUUAUCCCUGGCUUAGUACUAUCAUAGUCUGGCCCUCGGCUCAUGACUAUCACAGUCUGGCAUUUUCUUCCCCUCUCCCAUCCUCUUUAUACUACCCCGAGAUAACAACUCAUAUACUACAGAUGAUAACUACUUUUCCUGACUAUUCAUCCAUUCUACUUAUUGAAUCACCUUUUCAAUAGUUAUCUAUCUCUCUUUACACUAUACACUACGUAUCUAUAUUUUGAAAAUAACUACUUAUUCUAAAAAUACCAUGUAACUUUAAAAAAUCAUUGAAU